CCCGUGAUUUAAAGAACUGCCCUACCUGGAAAAAGAGGACAGAGAACAGGUCUACACAAAACUGGUUUUUGAGGCAGAAGUGUCCCACCAGAUGCAAGCAAUGGGAAAUCAGGAGGAAGACGAGGGAAGCUCAAGCACAAAGCUGUCAGGAUUCAAUGAAGAGACCACAGCUCCAAAUGAGUCACCUCCUUGUAAGAAGAAAGCCUUAGAUGCGCUGUUUGGCGAUUCCUUCACCCAAAGAGAAAGAAAAUCCACAAGCGAGACAGCCAGAGCAGAGGUGUUAAGGUACCGAGCAAAAGAUGCGUUGCCUUUGACUGAAAAUGCCAUGAAGUGGUGGAGAUCUCAGGAGAAAGAGCUACCUGUACUUUC